CGCCUUACAGCUAGCCCACCAAAAUAAAAGCAACCCACCACUUAAAUAACCCCAAAUGUUCUACACACCUAGUAAACAAAUCAUUUUACCCCCUUAGUAUGGGAGACAGAAAAGGACCAAG
rnacentral:rRNA from 1 species